GAGUGUGCCUUAGAACACAGGU
rnacentral:miRNA from 1 species